rnacentral:lncRNA from 1 species
GACCUGAUAUUGAUUAGUCCAUUUUAGAUGACUUUAAACACAUCAAGCUUACAUGUUUUACCAGCCUACUGCUCUUCAGCAUUCCAACUUCACAUUUAUCUGUGGUCUUAUGGCCAGGUGUUGUGCUAGAGCCUUUCUAAAGAUUAACUUCAGAGAGCUAGAGGUAUAAAUCAGUGGGGAGAGUGCUUGUCUAACAUACAGGAAGCAGGCCUUUGCUCUCCUUCAGUGCCGUCUUAAACCAGGUAUGCUGAACAUAGUUGUAAUUCCAGCAUUCGGGAGGUGAAGGAGGAGGAGGAGGAGAAAUUUACAGUCAUCCAUUACUGUGUAGAAAGUUUGAGACCAGUUUGGGAUACUUGGGAUCCUGUCUCAAGAAGGAAUAAAAUGGUUCAACCUUUACAAAGUAAAUAGAUGUGAGCCGAGGCUCCUGAUGGAAGCAGCCGGCAAGCAGUUAGCUUUGUCUUGCUGUAACUUUUCCCAGCCAGCCUAGAAACGCAGGUGGCUCAGUCCUCCUCCUCCCACUCCUCGGCUAGCUACUGUAGAGUUCCUGCUCGUUCCUGUUUGGUGGGGAUCUCCCAGAGGAUGUUCCUUGGAAACACUUACUCAGCUGCUCGGAGAAGGGCCGUGCCAGUGAGUGAUUAGUACCACGUUCAGGCUCCCCGGCCCCUUGUGUCUUCAGACACAGGCAGACAACAGGAAACAGAUGUUUUUGAUAAUGUAUCAUUGCUUUUCCUUGGCUAGUUUAUACCUCUCUUCCCAAACAGCACUCAUAUAUAGUCAUGUCAAAGUUUAUGAAACUUUCUGGUUUCUUUGUGAAAUGUCUUAAAGUCUGUGUCUUCUGUAUUCAGGAGAAAACAUAGUGAAAGGGGAUAAUGAAUCUAUCAGGAAUCUCCUAGAAAUAUUUGAUGGAUUGCUGGAUUAUCUGACAGAACACAUCAGUGAAUCGUCUCCCAACAAAAGUGAAACUGAGCAGUAUUCUAAAGAUUCUCAUGGAGAAGAAGCUGGGGAGGACCUAGAACGUACCGAGGAGGCGAAGUGGAGAAACGCUUCUUUUAUGAGGUAGUGUGCAGUGCCUGUGAAUUUCAUCAGACAAGUUAUGCUUCCCACUCUGUGAGAUUAAGUCCAGCAUACUCUAAUGUCCCUCCAAAAGCUGAUGUGAACAUUUUAUGCCUUUCUGAGCUCUUGACUUUCCUUUCCUAUCUCUGCUUUCACAACUUUUUUCUUUUUCUUUUUUUUUUUUUUCUUUUUUUGGUUUUUCGAGACAGGGUUUCUCUGUAUAGCCCUGGCUAUCCUGGAACUCACUUUGUAGACCAGGCUGGCCUCGAACUCAGAAAUCCGCCUGCCUCUGCCUCCCAAGUGCUGGGAGUAAAGGCGUGCGCCACCACGCCCGGCUCACAACUUUUUUCAUUCUAGACUUUUGUUGAGAUGGUUCUGAGUAUCCUGGCUGCCUUGAAUUCCUGAUUCUCCUGCCUGUGCCUUCCAACUGUUGGGAUUAAAGACAUGUGGUAACACACCAACACUUAAUUCUUUUCGUUAUCUAUCUAUCUAUCUAUCUAUCUAUCUGUCUGUCUUUUUAAUUUUUGAGUCAGGGUCUCACUAUGUAGCUUUGGCUAGCCUAGGACUCACAGAUCAAAGACAUAUCUUUGACCCCAGUAGUCAGGAGGCAGAGAUAGAUGGAUUUCUGACUUUGAGGCCAGCCUGAUCAAAAAAAAGUGAGUUUCAGGACAGGGAGGGCUACACAGAGAAACCUUGAAGGAAGGAAGGAAGAGAGGAAGGAAGAUUAAAAAAAAAGGAUGGACGGAUGGAUACUGGUACUCCACCAACUCUCUCCCUAUCUUAGACUCACCAGGGUUUGCUGUAUGUCUCUCUGCCUGUCUAUAUGUAUGUAUUUAUUAAAAAAGAUUUCUUUAUUAUGUAAAGUAUAUCGUGUUUUCCCUGCUUGUAAGUCUGCAGGCCAGAAGAGGGUACCAGAUAUCAUUAUAGAUGGUUAUGAGCCACCAUGUGGUUGCUGGGAAUUGAACUCAGGACCUCUGGAAGAGCAGACAGUGCUCACUUCUAAGCCAUCUUUCCAGCCUCCAGGUUUGCUGAUUUUUUUAAUCCUUGAUACAUGAAGCUGUUUCCACCUUGCAUAUAGCAGUCAAAACC